ACUCGGGUGGUGGAAUUGGUAGACACGCAGGACUUAAAAUCCUGUUUUCAGUAAUGAAAGUGUGGGUUCAACUCCCAUCCCGAGUA
rnacentral:tRNA from 1 species